UCAAACCACCACAGAUGUUUUAUGACAUCAACAAGGAAAGUAACCAAUGCAGGCCCCAAGUAAAUAGUGAAAGAUUAGUAUCAGGUGACCUCAUGAAGGGUUUAUAAGAUUGGAAGAAGAGAAGCCCCCUUGAGAGUAAGGCUACCAUGGAAUGUGUUUGAAAAAUAUUUGCCCUAAAAGAAGAUAUUGAGACUCUCUGGUUAUUUUAUGCUCUCUGCUUUCUGGUUGAUGAGAAUGAAGCAAUUUCUGCCUUGAGGACUGGGACUGCUCACGGAUCUGCUCUUCAGACGCCCCUGCAGCUUCUCUGCAUUCAGUUCUGCAGACUUGGCACUCUCGUUCCACUUCACACUAAUUGUGAUUGCUGACUCGUGCCUGGAUGGGAGGCUGCCAAAAGGGCAGGUAUCCCAGAGAGACAUCAUUACCCAGAGUCCUACUAUGUGUCUCAAGUCUGUUGAAAAAUGAUAUAUCCUCCAGGGUGGCUUCAGCCAUAUAAUCUUCUUGCAUCAGCCUCUCAAGUGCUAAGACUAUCAGGGUAAGCUAUAUUCAUUCUUAUAUGGCCAUGCGUUAUACAAAUAUCAAACGACUGAUCAAAACUUGCAUAAAUAAUUAUCAUCUGCUGAUUUGUACAGAUUUAUAUAACCAACAAAGAGAAAAUUAUUUUCCUAUACAUAAGGACACUGCAAAUCUUUGUUUUAAGUAGACAUGGACAAUAGGACAUACAUGUAAAUUGCUCUAUAAGAUCACAGAGAAACAUCUCACAGAGAAGUUACCUCCAAAAGCAUUAGCUAGAAUAUUUCAACUGAAAACUAGUGAACAUCUAUGGGAUUUGUGGCAAGAUGAGCUGUAUAGAAUACUUUUUUAUUUGUUUUGUUUCUUGUAAAAUUCAGUAGUUAUUUUGUGAAAAUAUCUCAUUAUCUAAGGGGAAUUAUCCAGAGACAGUUUCAACGCCAUUAUGAAUAUUUCAGUGAGAGUCAAGAAAGAA
rnacentral:sRNA from 1 species